AUGUCACUCAAACCAGCUGUAUUAAGGAAGGUGCAAGCUUUUGGGAUUUCUGUUUGGAUUUAGUUUAGGUUCAAAAGAGCACGCACAGAUCCUGAGUGUUGUCAAGCACCCGUGACUGGGAAACGGAGGCGUCCGAUCCGUAUUGGAGUCAAUUCGCCACUUAAUUGAACACAGCCUCGAAGGGAAGGGCCAUAUUUGUGGGCCUGUCUAACAAUUAAGAGUGACCACAUGGAAUGGGGGAUGAAAGGGUUAAAGAAGAACAAAUAUUGAACACAGCUUUUCUAUGAACAAACUGCAGGCAGCUGCUGCUUUGCAAGGGGAACUUCUUGGCUGCCAUUUCUGGAUGUCAAGGCUGCAGAUACACUGGUCAGGACCCUGGGUAGAGAGAGAUGCGUCAGAAUGCGGCUCCUUUCAGAAAGGCUUCUCCGGAGGGAAGCAGUUGAUUGAGAAUAAUGGUUCUGUUUUGGAGGUUGAUGGAAGAUGCCCUUUGGCCAGGAAAACAGCUCAUGCUUUUAGAGGAGGAUAAUUGCCAGAAGGCCUCUCUGAAUAAAAAAAAAUCCUGACCUCACAGCCUUUGCGCUUACUUGGGUUAGAAUGCCACAGUGAACAUUGCCCCUUGUCAUCACGUAGAGGUGCUCACAGGUAAAGCAACACAAGGAGCAUAUAGGAUCACCUGCUGGAUCUUGUUUUUAACACCAGGGAGGAAAAUGGUGUCUUGGGUAAUGAACAUGCCUCAAGACUGAGCUGGCCAUCUUCAGUGUCAUCCAAACCCUCAGUGGCCCCUGAAAAACCCUUUGAAAAGAUUCAGCACGUUGCCAUGGAGAACAUCCCACUGAAGGAAUGUAUAGAAGUAGCAGGGAUCUGCAAUGAGAUGGGAGAAGGCAACAGGCUGUGUGGGAACCACUGAAGCUGGGAUGGCAGGGAAAGAACAUCUUAGGCUAACUCUUCAAGCCUUGCUGUCACAUUUGCUUUUGAGUCUAUGGUGUCAGCUGCCUACCAGUUGCUUUCAUCUCUAGAAAUCUGUGACUUGCAGUAUGACAAGAACAAAAGGUGACAAUACAAAGGACAAAGGGCAAGGAAUACAGACGGAGAAGCCGCUUAGAGUCUAGGAUGGCAGAGGUUCUCUUGAUCAUUUCAUUUUUGAGCGCUUGUAGAGCUUUGGUGUACCAGAGGUGCUUGAACAGCUUACCACACCACAGAUGAAUGGCCUUUGGAUUUCUCCUAAGAAAAUGUGGCUACCUGAAAUUCAACUCCAUUUUCUGGUCUUCAAUAUUUCUUUUGUGUUCAGUUUGCCAGCUGAGGAGAAGUGGCUAAGCAUAGCCUGUUACUGAUGCUAAAGCCCAAGUUCUGAACCUAACAACUCCAGCAACAUGAUCCUGUUUCAAGAGACAAAAAAGUGACUAAUGAAAGAAAACAAUUGAUGUGCUAUGUAGAGUUUAAAAGAAGGUAAAGAGAAUAAAUUAAAAGCAACAACUCUC
rnacentral:lncRNA from 1 species